rnacentral:rRNA from 1 species
AUUGAACGCUGGCGGCAGGCCUAACACAUGCACGUCGAGCGAGCGGCGGACGGGUGAGUAAUGUCUGGGAAAAUGCCUGAUGGAGGGGGAUAUCUACUGGAAACGGUAGCUAAUACCGCAUACCAUCAGAUGUGCCCAAAUGGGAUUAGCUAGUGGGUGGGGUAACGGCUCACCUAGGCGCCGCUCCCUAGCUGGUCUGAGCGGAUGACAAGCCACACUGGAACUGAGACACGGUCCAGACUCCUAGGGGAGGCAGCAGUGGGGAAUAUUGCACAAUGGGCGCAAGCCUGAUGCAGCCAUGCCGCGUGUGUGAAGAAGGCGUUCGGGUUGUAAAGCACUUACAGCGGGGAGGCGUUAACCGCAGAAGAAGCACCGGCUAACUCCGUGCCAGCAGCCGCGGUAAUUC